rnacentral:tRNA from 1 species
GAGGGUAUAGCUCAGUGGUAGAGCAGGAACUUAGCAUGCACGAGGUCCUGGGUUCAAAUCCACAGUACCUCCA